AACCCGGUUGCUCUCGUGAAGGAACUGUGAACUGGGAGGGAGCGUCUUUUGAAGUAUUUCAGUCUACGGUUUUAAAGAGUAUAUGGAUACUUUCAAAAGGGAGAGAGCUCAGAUUUAAGCCCUAGGCGCGUUCACCGGAGACCCGCCCUCUGCCCGUGCUAGGCGUGGGCUGGAAUUACAGGCACGCACCAUUCCAUCCGGUUAAUCUUGGAGAUUCAGCCUGGAGCUUCCUGCGUGGGACAUGAGGACUGUCUCUCUUGGCUCCGACCUUUCAGGGAGGAGAGACGCAAAGGCUGUGGUAAACCCAUGGACAAAGGAUUUUUAUGAGCUCAAAGCUACAGUGGGAAAAGUGAGCAAUGCACACCAGUGUAAACAUCUUCACCUGCCUAGAUGCCCACAGAACCAGAGAGCCCAGUGCUGCCUGUGGGGAGGGGCUGUGCAUGAAGAGUCAGAAGAGCUGUGUCCUUCAUCUCAGACCAGAGGAAUCCUUUCACUCUUUUCAAGGCCUUACUCUGGACUCACCAUCUUCCUUUUGGAGUGCUAAGAUUACCUGCAUGACCACCAUACUUAGUGUCUUAGUUUGGGUUUUAUCGCUAUGAAGAGACACCAUGACCAGGACAACUCUUAUAAAAGAAAUUGGAGCUGGCUUACAGUUUCAGGUGUUUAGUUCAUUAACAUCAUGGGGAGAAGCAUGGUGGUAUGCAGGCAGACAUGGUGUUAGAAAAGGAAGUGAGAGUUCUACAGAUGAUCCACAGGCAGCAAAAGGAGAUUAUGUAUCAUUCUGGGUGUAGCUUGAGCGUAGGAGACCUCAGAGCCCACCCCACAGUGACACACUUCCUCUACAAGGUCUCUGUUGUGUUAGAAUCACGGCUUGUCCGGACAGAUCACAGCAGGUCAGUAAGUUCCACAGGAGAGAGGUUUAUUGGGGGAUGGGGGAGGACAAAAGAGGGCAACAAAUAUGAUGAGGGAAAGAGAGCAAAGGUCAGGAGUGGUCUGCCUUUUAUUUGGGUUGUGACGUAACAGCUUGCAGGUAAAGGUGGGAGGUGGGUGGACCAGAUGGACACUAGGAAUGUACAGUGAUUGCUAUGGCAACAGAUGUGCAGGUCCCUGUUGCUUAGUGACCUGCAACUGUAAAAGCCAGUUUCUGAAGCCAACAGCCACGCCUCCUUCAACAAGGUCACACCUCCUAAUAGUGCCACUCCCUCCCGAUAGGCCAAGCCUUCAAACACAGUCUGUGUGGGCCAUUCCUAUUCAAACAACCACAUAUAGCUUAAGAUUGCCACCACCCCCCUUGUUUCACAUAUAUGUGUGUGUGUUUGUAUAUGUAUGCAGGUACAAGUUCAUGUGUGUGUAAGUGUGUGUGAAAAUUAGAAGUUGAUGUCAGACAUCUUCUUCAACUGCUCUCCACCUUUUAAAAAGAAUUAAGGUUUAUUACAUUUUCAUUUUCAUUUAUGUUGGUAUGGCAUUUGUGUGUGUGUAGCAUCCGAUCUCCUGAAACUACAGCUACAGAGAGUUGUACGCCAUCAACAUGGAUGCUGGCAUCUGAAUGCUGGGACCUUCUGGAAUGGCAGCAAGGGCUGUAACUGCUGAGCCAUCUCAUCUCUCUAGCCCUCUGACAUCAAUUCAGCUAUACUCGCUGGUCUGCAAGCUAGAUGUGCAAAAUCGGCAAGCUCUGUGUUCAGGGAGAGACCUUGCCUCAAUAAAUGAGUGGGAAGCCACUAAGGAAGAAA
rnacentral:lncRNA from 1 species